ensembl:lncRNA
UUAUAAUGUGAUUAAGUAUCUUUUAAUUAUUCAUCCACACAAAUGAACUUAGAUCAAGUGCAGGCAAAAUAUAAGUUCUAUAAUGUCUAUAUGUCACGUGAGGUCUUAAAACUACAAAGUCGAUUCACAAUGAACAAGCAAACACAAAGUUUUAAAUAUUUAAACAACAUGUAACCAUGAUCAUUCAAAAUGUGCAUAUUUUUAAGCACAUUUCCAUACUGCUAAAGUAUCUGAAAAUAUAUGCCAGCUUAGGUGACUGAGAUAAAAGUCAUUGUUAUGAUUACAUUUAUUGGAAAGAGAAAAUGUUUCUUUACUCAGAUAAAUACAUCUAAAAUAAAUAAAUACAAAAUGAUUAGCUGGUUAAGGAAUUAGUCUUUUAAACCAACACUCUAAAUUUUUUAUUGUGAAAUCCCCAAAUUAUAAAGUCAGGAAGCACCACUCUUUCUCCUGCUACAUGAUUUCUUUGCAUUUGGUCACUAAGUUUCUGCAAACGAGCCAUGGGAACAAAGCUUGGAGAAUGGGGGCCACACAAAGAGGACAGAAUAGAGCUAAGGUGCUGGAAAGGCAGGGCGCCCUGCCAGUCACUGUAGCUCAGUCAGUUCAGCGCGGAGUAGCAAGAGCUGCCUGCUUGCUUCCUCCGGUGCACGGCCCCCAUACACCGUUAAAAUGAACAAUCCUGACCAAUCACCUUUGGAUAUCAACUAUUUUAAAUUUUUAUUUUUUUGGUACCAGAGAUGGAACUCGGGACCUUGUGCUUGCGAAGCAGGCAGCAGAACCACUGAGCUAACUCCCCGGCCAUCUAUUUUAAAUUAAUCAAUCUUUCAUACAGCGUUUUCCUCACUCCAUUCUUCAGAAAUUCUAACAUGAAAAACAAAUGAUUCCUUGUCCAGUUAGACUUUAGCUUCUGUAGACUGCACCCAUAAAGUUAUUUUUUAAAUUUAAAUUUCAAGCUCUUCUAGUUUUGGGGCUACAGACACAACACAUGGGGUUCACUGUUGGGAUUGAAUUUU